GAUAGGUGGGAGGCUUUGAAGCGUGGACGCCAGUCUGCGUGGAGCCAACCUUGAAAUACCACCCUUUAAUGUUUGAUGUUCUAACGUUGGCCCCUUACCGGGGUUGCGGACAGUGUCUGGUGGGUAGUUUGACUGGGGCGGUCUCCUCCCAAAGCGUAACGGAGGAGCACGAAGGUUAGCUAAUCCUGGUCGGACAUCAGGAGGUUAGUGCAAUGGCAUAAGCUAGCUUGACUGCGAGCGUGACGGCGCGAGCAGGUGCGAAAGCAGGUCAUAGUGAUCCGGUGGUUCUGAAUGGAAGGGCCAUCGCUCAACGGAUAAAAGGUACUCCGGGGAUAACAGGCUGAUACCGCCCAAGAGUUCAUAUCGACGGCGGUGUUUGGCACCUCGAUGUCGGCUCAUCACAUCCUGGGGCUGAAGUAGGUCCCAAGGGUAUGGCUGUUCGCCAUUUAAAGUGGUACGCGAGCUGGGUUUAGAACGUCGUGAGACAGUUCGGUCCCUAUCUGCCGUGGGCGCUGGAGAAUUGAGGGGGGCUGCUCCUAGUACGAGAGGACCGGAGUGGACGCAUCACUGGUGUUCGGGUUGUCAUGCCAAUGGCACUGCCCGGUAGCUAAAUGCGGAAGAGAUAAGUGCUGAAAGCAUCUAAGCACGAAACUUGCCCCGAGAUGAGUUCUCCCUGAGACUUUAAGUCUCCUGAAGGAACGUUAAAGACGAUGACGUUGAUAGGCCGGGUGUGUAAGCGCAGCGAUGCGUUGAGCUAACCGGUACUAAUGAACCGUGAGGCUUAACCUUACAACGCCGAAG
rnacentral:rRNA from 1 species